rnacentral:rRNA from 1 species
CCGGUUGAUCCUGCCGGACCCGACUGCUAUCAGAGUGAGAUUAAGCCAUGCGAGUCAACGUAGCAAUACGUGGCAUACGGCUCAGUAACACGUAGUCAACAUAACCAAAGGACGUGGAUAAACUCGGGAAACUGAGGCUAAACCGCGAUAGACCAAGAUACCUGGAAUGGUUUUUGAUUAAAAUCUAUAUGGCCUUUGGAUUGGACUGCGUCCGAUCAGGCUGUUGGUGAGGUAAUGGCCCACCAAACCUAUAACCGGUACGGGCUCUGAGAGGAGGAGCCCGGAGAUGGGUACUGAGACAAGGACCCAGGCCCUAUGGGGCGCAGCAGGCGCGAAACCUCUGCAAUAGGCGAAAGCUUGACAGGGUUACUCUGAGUGACUUUCGCUAAGAAAGUCUUUUGACACCUCUAAAAAUGGUGUAGAAUAAGGGGUGGGCAAGUCUGGUGUCAGCCGCCGCGGUAAUACCAGCACCCCGAGUGGUCGGGACGAUUAUUGGGCCUAAAGCAUCCGUAGCCGGCCUUACAAGUCCCCCGUUAAAUCCAACUGCUUAACAGAUGGGCUGCGGAGGAUACUAUAAGACUAGGAGGCAGGAGAGGCAAGCGGUACUCAGUGGGUAGGGGUAAAAUCCGUUGAUCCAUUGAAGACCACCAGUGGCGAAGGCGGCUUGCCAGAAUGCGCUCGACGGUGAGGGAUGAAAGCUGGGGGAGCAAACCGGAUUAGAUACCCGGGUAGUCACAGCUGUAAACGAUGCAGACUCGGUGAUGGACUAGCUUAAUGCUAGUCCAGUGCCGCAGGGAAGCCGUUAAGUCUGCCGCCUGGGUAGUACGGUCGCAAGA